UACGGGGGGAGCAAGCGUUGUUCGGAAUUACUGGGCGUAAAGGGCUCGUAGGCGGCCAACUAAGUCAUACGUGAAAUCCCUCGGCUUAACCGGGGAACUGCGUCUGAUACUGGAUGGCUUGAGAUUGGGAGAGGGAUGCGGAAUUCCAGGUGUAGCGGUGAAAUGCGUAGAUAUCAGGAAGAACACCCGUGGCUAAGGCGGUUCUCUAGUACGGUACUGACGCUGAGACGCGAAAGCGUGGGGAGCGAACAGG
rnacentral:rRNA from 1 species